CCUACGGGAGGCAGCAGUGAGGAAUAUUGGUCAAUGGCCGGGAGGCUGAACCAGCCAAGUCGCGUGAGGGAAGACGGCCCUACGGGUUGUAAACCUCUUUUGUCAGGGAGCAAGGUGCAGGUCGGGACCUGCUGUGAGAGUACCUGAAGAACAAGCAUCGGCUAACUCCGUGCCAGCAGCCGCGGUAAUACGGAGGAUGCGAGCGUUAUCCGGAUUUAUUGGGUUUAAAGGGUGCGCAGGCGGAGGCACAAGUCAGCGGUAAAAUCGCGGGGCUCAACCCCGCUCCGCCGUUGAAACUGUGGCCCUUGAGUGCGCGAAGGGUAGGCGGAAUGCGUGGUGUAGCGGUGAAAUGCAUAGAUAUCACGCAGAACUCCGAUCGCGAAGGCAGCCUACCGGCGCACAACUGACGCUCAUGCACGAAAGCGUGGGUAUCGAACAGGAUUAGAUACCCCAGUAGUC
rnacentral:rRNA from 1 species